rnacentral:rRNA from 1 species
AAACUGCCUGAUGGAGGGGGAUAACUACUGGAAACGGUAGCUAAUACCGCAUANCGUCGCAAGACCAAAGAGGGGGACCUUCGGGCCUCUUGCCAUCGGAUGUGCCCAGAUGGGAUUAGCUAGUAGGUGGGGUAACGGCUCACCUAGGCGACGAUCCCUAGCUGGUCUGAGAGGAUGACCAGCCACACUGGAACUGAGACACGGCCCAGACUCCUACGGGAGGCAGCAGUGGGGAAUAUUGCACAAUGGGCGCAAGCCUGAUGCAGCCAUGCCGCGUGUAUGAAGAAGGCCUUCGGGUUGUAAAGUACUUUCAGCGGGGAGGAAGGCGAUAAGGUUAAUAACCUUGUCGAUUGACGUUACCCGCAGAAGAAGCACCGGCUAACUCCGUGCCAGCAGCCGCGGUAAUACGGAGGGUGCAAGCGUUAAUCGGAAUUACU